rnacentral:rRNA from 1 species
GACGAACGCUGGCGGCGUGCUUAACACAUGCAAGUCGAACGGAAAGGCCCUGCUUUUGUGGGGUGCUCGAGUGGCGAACGGGUGAGUAACACGUGAGUAACCUGCCCUUGACUUUGGGAUAACUUCAGGAAACUGGGGCUAAUACCGGAUAGGAGCUCCUGCUGCAUGGUGGGGGUUGGAAAGUUUCGGCGGUUGGGGAUGGACUCGCGGCUUAUCAGCUUGUUGGUGGGGUAGUGGCUUACCAAGGCUUUGACGGGUAGCCGGCCUGAGAGGGUGACCGGCCACAUUGGGACUGAGAUACGGCCCAGACUCCUACGGGAGGCAGCAGUGGGGAAUAUUGCACAAUGGGCGGAAGCCUGGUGCAGCAACGCCGCGUGCGGGAUGACGGCCUUCCGGUUGUAAACCGCUUUCGCCUGUGACGAAGCGUGAGUGACGGUAAUGGGUAAAGAAGCACCGGCUAACUACGUG